GAUGAACGCUGGCGGCGUGCUUAACACAUGCAAGUCGAACGGAGUGCUCAUGAUGGAGGAUUCGUCCAACGGAUUGAGUUACUUAGUGGCGGACGGGUGAGUAACGCGUGAGGAACCUGCCUCGGAGUGGGGAAUAACAGCCCGAAAGGGUUGCUAAUACCGCAUAAUGCAUUGGAUUCGCAUGUUUCUGAUGCCAAAGAUUUUAUCGCUGAAAGAUGAGCUCGCGUCUGAUUAGCUGGUUGGCGGGGUAACGGCCCACCAAGGCGACGAUCAGUAGCCGGACUGAGAGGUUGAACGGCCACAUUGGGACUGAGACACGGCCCAG
rnacentral:rRNA from 1 species